CAUCUGACCUAUCUCUCGCCGUUUUUCAUUACUCUAAUGAAAAAUCCGGUAUUUUUUCUUUGCCAAAAACCUAAUAGAGAAAUUGUGAAGCAACACCAUUUUCUUGUUUCCUGACAUUGAAUUAUAUUCGUGGGAACGACGCAACCAAAUAUCUGGUGGCAAGAGUACAGCUGGAGAUCGAGGGUGUUCAAUUAGUGACUCCGGUAGAAAGCGCGCGGAAGCGCAACCCUAUAUCUCAUCGCUUACGCAUCUAGAACCCUCAGUCGGCUCUUCAACUGCUCGGUGCUUCACCUACUCCUCUUCAAGUUGUUAAGCCUUUUAGGCUGUUUGGUAGCUUUGAAUUGAAUAAUAGCAGUUCGGGUUCGGUAGUUCAGCAAGGUGGUGCUGGUGGUGGCAAUGGUUUGGAGCCAAGCUAUGUAAGCUUGGAAUGAAGUCGAGAAAGUCAAGAUUGACUGGAGCAGAUCGAUCGUGAAGGAUGCAAUUACAAGUUGAAGGAGCUCAGUAUUAUCGUUUAGUCUUGUAUGACAGUUUAAUACUUUUUAGUUUAAAUAGACCACUUAGUAAUCGAGUUGUAAUAGUUUGAGUUUUGUAAGCCUUAGCACUUGACAAUGUGAUCAAGUGUGGCGGUGAUACUUCCGAUUUAGGUGUAAGCUUCCGCAUAAUUUUUAUAAAGUCUUUUAUAUUCUUAUUUA